UCAGGCGGCCGGGCGGUCGCUUCCGUCCAAUGGCGAAAGCCGGGCGGGAGAGGAAAGUCCGGGCUCCAUGGAGGCAAGGCGCCGGGGAAAGCCCGGCGGGCCGGGCAACCGGUUCAGGGACAGCGCCGCAGAAAUCAGACCGCCAGACCCGGCUUCGGCCCCGUCUGGCAAGGGUGAAACGGUGGGGUAAGAGCCCACCGCCCCGACCGCAAGGAAGGGGGCACGGCAAGCCCCGCCUGGAGCAAGACCGAAUAGGGACGGGCGUUCCGGUUCUGCCGGAACAGGCGCGCCUCCGCGCUGCCGUCCGGGUAGGUCGCUUGAGGCGGCGCGCAAGCGCCGUCCCAGAGGAAUGGCCGCCGCGUUCUUUCCGUUCCGGAAAGAGCGGCACAGAACCCGGCUUACAGGCCGCCUGACACG
rnacentral:RNase_P_RNA from 1 species